GUCUCAGGAAGGUCAGACAGAUCAAGAUGGUGUCCCCGUCCCAGCUCUUCUGGCUCCUGCUGCUCCAGAUCUCAGGCUCCAGUGGGGAUAAAGUGCUGACUCAGUCUCCGGACUCCCAGUCUGUGUCUCCAGGAGACAAAUUCACCAUCAACUGUAAGAGCAGUGAGACUCUCACACACAGUAAUGGCAACAACGAUUUAAACUGGUUCCAACAGAAACCUGGACAUCCCCCCAAACUCCUCAUUUACAUAGCCUCCACCCGGGUCUCCGGGAUCCCGGCCCGGUUCAUCGGCAGCGGGGCUGGGACAGAUUUCACUCUGACCAUCAAUGGUGUGGAAGCCGAUGAUGCUGCAGACUAUUACUGUGGCCAAGCUACAUGGGUACCUCACACAGUGCUUCAGCUCUGUACAAAAACCUCCUCCUGCUGGCUGACUGAUGAUGCUGGGCUGUCCCAGCUGCUCCCUGUCCCCCAGCAGCUGCUGUGGGGCUGCUCAGACAGCGUCUCUCACUCUGUGGAGGCGAAGCCAAUGCAGGCUUGA